GAGUGCUCGCUUCGGCCACACGUGUACUAAAAUUGGAACGAUACAGAGAAGAUGAGCAUGGCCAGGGGUGACAUGCAAAUUCGUGAAGCGUCCCAUGUUUUA
ensembl:snRNA U6 U6 spliceosomal RNA